CCUACGGGUGGCAGCAGUGAGGAAUAUUGGUCAAUGGCCGGAAGGCUGAACCAGCCAAGCCGCGUGAAGGACGAAGGUGCCAAGCAUUGUAAACUUCUUUUGUCAAGGGACAAAAGCAGGCGCGAGAGAGUGACCGAGGGUACUUGAAGAAAAAGCAUCGGCUAACACCGUGCCGGCAGCCGCGGUAAUAUGGGGGAUGCGAGCGUUAUCCGGUUUUAUGGGGUUUAAGGGGUGCGUAGGCGGACUGUUAGGUCAGCGGUAAAAGCCCGGGGCUCAACCCCGGCGAGCCGUUGAAACUGGGUGUCUUGAGAUGUCGAGAGGUAUGCGGAAUGCGCAGUGUAGCGGUGAAAUGCUUAGAUAUUGCGCAGAACUCCGAUUGCGAAGGCAGCAUACCGGCGGCGAUCUGACGCUGAGGCACGAAAGCGUGGGUAUCGAACAGGAUUAGAUACCCUUGUAGUC
rnacentral:rRNA from 1 species